GGUGGGGUGGGAGGCAGGGUUAGCGUGGUGAUCCCAGCGGGACCCAUGCAGCACUGGAGGGUGGUGGCGGUGGGGGUGAGGACCGAGGGUCGCCUCAGAGGGUGCGGCGAAGAACCGUUGCGUGCCGCGGGGUCCUCGGGAGCGGGGUGGGGAAAGCAGGGAGGUCUCCGUCUUGCAACCCCUCCGCCACGCAGCUCGCGCUGCCCUGCGGGGGUUGGACCAACUGCAACCGGUGACGAGAAACGGUGCGCGAGCCAAGGGCGCGGAGAUCUAGCGGCCAACGGCAAAGGGCGGGGUCUAACGGCCCAAGCCCCGCUGACAUACCGGGCCUUCGAGCCUUCUUCCCUCGCUUCGUUACGGGCGUUUGGCACGCAAGAGCUCCCUCCAGGUGUGGAGACCGUCCCGUACUGCCGAGGCUCUCCUGACAUCCAGGCCUGUGAGCCCGCCAGCCCUUCCUGCUCGGGUCCCGGGAGGACAACGGGCUCCCCCCACCCAAGGCAGGAGCGACCCUGAUCCUUCCAAGGUUCUACAGGUGGUAGUGGCCGAGCCGGCACUGGAACCCAGUCUGUGUCAUUCCAGACCUCCUGAAUGUAGCCGCGGGACUGUGGCGCCUCCUCAUUAUGGAGACAUCAGAAACCGACAAUUGUCAGCACAGCAAUAUUGGGCAUUUCUCUCCUAGUUGAGCCUUGCAGCUGACUACACGGCUGUUGAUGAGUGAUCUUCUCCCAGAGGCAAGGAGAGGAGAUGAGUUUCAGUGAAACUUCUCGUGGCCGGUAUGUUGACUUCUGAUGAGCCUUCUCUGAAAUGACACCAUUUUACAUGUACACAAACGUGGCUGAGGUAUUGGGCUUCAGCUCACUCUAGAAGGACAUGGUGUAGGCUAAGUUUGUUUGCCAUAACCAGAGGGGCUGAGCCUCUACCCAUUCAUGGCAGUGGGUGGUCAGCCACCAUUUCUAGAUAGCCUUUGCUGAGCUAUUGUUUCUUUCAGUAGAAGAAAAAUGAAUGGGUUGGUGACCCAACACUUCUGUCUCCAGAGAAAUCUGGGCAGGUGACAAAGGUGCCCCAGGGUGAGAGUCCGGCGGCUUGCAGUGCCCUAUGCCAGAGCUAUGUUUGCUCUGAAAGACAGCAGCAGAGGUGCUGAAGUUUGGACAUUUCCUUAGUGGGGUUGACUACUCCACAUCCAAGAGAGUACUCUUGUCUAAGUGGGUCCCAAAUGUUCUGAGUGAAGGUGAGAAGAGAAACUCUUCCUCAGAGUGACCCUGUCCCGUGAGCCUGCGACAGAUGUGCUCUGACCACAAGUGUCCCAGCUGCUCUGAAUGAUGGAACAAAAAUUUCCUGAAGGGCAGGUGUGGUGCUGACUUUCCCCAUGGCACUGCCUGCGUUCUGGACCAUGUCCCUCAGGCGCACUGACGUUAGCAUUUCCAAUCACAGGUACGCUGCCAGCCCCUCAGAUGGCGACAGAGAUGCCCUGGCCUGGUGGACACUAGGGGUCUGAUGGAGGGCAGGAACAGGAGUAGCUCAUGACACACAUUUCUUCUCAGUGGUGCAGGCUUCUCCAAGAAUAACAGGUUUUCUGUGACUAGAUGGUCCUCAAGUGCUCAGUCCCGAUGCGGGAAGAGAAUCCUCCCAACACCCUGAAUGGUGUUGGCCUUUCCCACUACCAGCCACGCACUCUUUCACGCGGGGCCCAGGACUUCUGACCGCAGGUAGGACCAGAAAGCCCUCCAGGCACAGGUGUGGCAUCUUCCCCUUGAUUGCCAUAGAUGUCCUCUGGCUGGAUGGGGCCCAGGUUAUCUGAACACAAGGAAGACCCAAAGCACCUUGUGCCCCAUGUUCCUUCUCAGUGAUGCUCUCUCGUCCAAUAGGAGUCAGCGUGUUAUGGAGGGGGUGGCUCUGGGUGCUCUGAUUAUAGGUAGGAAGGAAAGUGUUUCCAAGGACAGAUUUGCUCUCAGCAGGGCCGGCCUCUCCAGUUGCAACAGGGGUGCCCCAGGCUGACCACAUCCCCAACACGAGCUGUGCUGCUAGGUAUUGCACUGGGCCUUGCUCCAAAGCUGAGUGUUCCAGACAUGAAGCCACUGCCUGGGAUGUACACAGUGAUCCCAAAUUUUGCCACUACCCAAAAGGUGCAGGUCCCAUAAACCCCAGUGGGGCUGGAGCAUACCUGCAAAAGGUGAGCAGCUCCAGAGGAGGUCUAAUGGACUAGAGGGCUCUAGCGGUGGGGAGAACAACUAAAGGGCAGCCAGAGCUGGCUGGGUGCUCCCUGAGGCGCUGCAUUUGGAACAGUUGGAAAAGUUGACCGCUGAUGGGGGCCAGGCCUGCUGUCGAGGCUAGGCACGGGGGUUCUGCGGGAGCUGCCAGCUUUCCCAGAGGGAAAGGUGCAGAGAAGAGACAGGAAGAGAGCAGGCUGGGAACUGAGUGUGGUAUCAGAGUCCAAAGCCGGCUUGGAUGACGAGGCUGAAGUGUCCUGGAGUGAGGCUACUGCAGAAGCAGUGGUAGGUGGGCCAGAAAAAAACAGGGGCCUUGAAGAGAGUGGCUUCCUGCCACCGCCCAGAUCGGCUCCCACAUUUCAGCUAAAGGGCGGUUCCUGCCCUAAAAGGAAGGGGGAAAGCUGAAGUAGGGCUGCUAGCCAUAAAAGCAGGUGGCAACCUUGGCCUUGGCAGGGUUGUUUCUUCCCUAUGGGGAGAAGCCUGGUCCCGAGCGACGGGGCUCAUGCUGGGUCCCGGCGGAAACCUGAAGACGAAAGCAUGGCAAGGCAGAGCGGCGCCUGUGACAGUCACACCAAGGCCAAAGCACCCACUGGGGUCCGUUUUGCAGAUGCACUGACUGUGAUGCUGGGGUGGGGGUGUUUGCAGAGGCUGGUGAAGACCGAGACACUGGCUAAAGGGACUCGAAGGGGGGGCUGUAAGAAAAAGGGAGGAGAAUCCACACACAUAGAAGUGGGUGAUUUGACUUUAAAGACAGGCGAGGAAGAAGGAUGAGAUGUUAGGAGGUGUGGGAGGAGAAGCAGAAGAUCCUGCUGCUGUGACUGAGGGAUUGGGAUGCAAGGGGCCUCAAUUCUCAUUAUUAAGUGGAGCGCCAAAGAGGGGUUGGGAUCUAAAGGCAGCACGGGCCAGAGCAGCAGUGGGAGCGUUGAAAAUUGUGCACCCGUUUCAUGACCCAUAUCCGGUGUCGGGGGAGAUAAAGGGGCAGACAGGUCCAGGCCCCAGUAGACAAGUCAGUCAAGUCAAUGACUGCUAAUUUGGUAAUUUCUGGAAUCUGCGAGGGGAAAGCAGCCAAUGGCAAAGUAACUGUGUUCCCUGCAAGAAACGGGGAGCGAGAAGAGGCAGGCUGAGUGGAACGGCUGUGUGACGUGGUCUUCAGUUUCGUCCUCCAGCCUCGUGGUUCCGUUGCUGCUGUGUUUUUCUCCAAGCUGAGGUCUUCAGCAAUGACCAUCCAAGGAAGGUAGGAGGUAGGAGCAGACUCGCUUCUUCUACUGCACCGUAGUGGCAGUGACAGCAGCAGUGGCCCUGAAAUUUUCUGUUUACAGAGGCUACGUGGGUGGAGAAUUUCUCCUUGACAGAGUGUCUGAAAGCUCCUCUCUCUUGGGUCUUCUUUGACAUCAAUAAGGGGCGGAGAGCUGAGCCAAUGGCCUUCAUCAAGCUCUUCCUUUCUCAGCCCCUCUGGCAGCUGGCCCCGAUGGCCCUCAUGUACCUGGAUCACUCCUGUAAAGAGGCAGGAAGCCUCCAGCAGGGCUGUAUGAGCUGCUGAAGGCAUGGCCUUUGGUGAAGGACUUCAUGGAAGAUGUCUAUGAUAUCUCACCUAAGCUAGCUUCUUGGAAUAGAGGUUUCCCCAAAUGUGUGACAGCUCCACUUGUAGCCAGGAGCCUACAUGCUGAUGGUACACUCCCACUGCUACGGUGACCCCUUUCUGGUAGUCCUGCCUUUGGCACACUUUUGUCUUCCUUUGAUAUCCCCUGCCUUCACCCUCCCGGUGACUUCAGCUCUGUCUCCUUUAAGCAAGGAUGUAGAGGGGAUUGGAUGACCCUGGCCAUCUCCAAAUUCGAGUUGGGGAGAUUGGGGGACAAGGGCAAGAGAGAAGCUUGCUGAGGAGGUUGCCCAUGCAGGACAGUUUGGACACUGUCGGGUCUUGGGAGUGUAGUAACGCAAUUCGGAGAGCGCUCUCCUAGCUACCUGCUCCUCUGUGGCAAACCGUGCUCUGUUUAGCCUGAUGCUUGGGGCACAGCGCCAGAACGUGGGGCAGAAAAGCACCCCGGCUCCACCUACACCUGCAAAGGGGAUGCACCCAAAGUGCCAAAGGCCCAGAGGCCAAAUCCCAGUGGGACUUUCUAGCACUUCCUGACUUUCUGCUGCUGGUUGCUUGGGUGUGACACCAGAUGGGCCUGGUGGUUUGGUGAGACCGUUAAAGACUAGACAUUCCAAGAGCCUGCAUGACCAUCACGCCAGUGCCUAACUGUAAGGCAGUGGCAGAGGCCACCUGAGUUUGGAGGGGGGGGGUCUGCCAGCCCUUUUCCCUAUGGUCCCCAGAGGGCAGAGCCUGCUCAAGGCCAGAGCAGGAGAGCAAAACGUAGAUCCUGCCCACAUGGGGCAUGGCUUGUGGGAGGCUGGGGUAGACACAAGAAAGCUAUGGAGACUGGGGGUUGGUGCUGUCAUGGUGCGUCCAGUCAGCAUGGGAUGGCAACAGCAGGGUAUGUGCCUAUGAGAUCUUCCUUGGCUCAGCUCAUGAAUCAACCAUUGGCUACACCAGGCUCCAGUCUCAGAAGAGGGCAGGGUCUGUGAAUUGGUAACACAGCCCUAUCAGACAUUUUUCCUCAAUAUGAGCCUUGCAGCAAACCAUGAAACUACAAGAGCUCUUCUCCCAGGUGCGUGAGUAGCAGGUGCAUAUCAGGUAUGCGCUGGAGCUAGCCUGGCUUACAAGCCUUCUGCCCCAAGGGCAUCCAUAUCUCUUGUAAUAAUUCCAUAAGUCAGCUUUCAAGGUCCUAACUUACCAAUAUUAACUUUUCCAGCUCACCAGUUGUACAAAUUUUGUUGAGGUCUUUAGAUUUUAUUUCUCUCGGUAUUUUGUAGCAGAGUUCCAGAAAUUAUACAUCAUAGAGAGCAUGGGUCAAAUUUGGCCCACAGUCUGUUUUUGUAAUGCCAAUUAGCUUGAAAUGAUGUUAACAUUUUUUAAAUGUUGUAAAAUCAAAACAAAACCAUCACAUGUGAUAGGGACCAUACCUGCAAAGCCUACAAAUAUUUCCUAGCUGGUGCUUUAUAGUGAGAGUUUGCCAACCCCUGAUGUGUCCUUUUUUCGGUCUGUAGGUCUUAUAUACAGUAUCUGCUGAUGUACUCCUUACCGUUUUGUGAAAUUUAAAAAGUGCUAUUGUAAAUGGUACCUUUUAAAUUUUAGUUUUCAAUUAUAUGCUAGUGGUAGCAUAUAGAAUAUAUAAUUGGUUUCUAUAUAUUGGUCUUGUAUGCUGUAAGUGUGCUAAAUCUCCAUGCUUCUGGUAUUUCUUUGUGGAUUUCUUAUGAUUUUGUAAUACACAUUCAUGUUUUCUAUAAAUAAAGAGUUUUACAUAAUCCUUUUCAA